rnacentral:rRNA from 1 species
GCGGAAGGCCCCUUCUGGGGUACUCGAGCGGCGAACGGGUGAGUAACACGUGAGCAACCUGCCCCUGACUCUGGGAUAAGCCCGGGAAACUGGGUCUAAUACCGGAUGUGACCAGCCUCCGCAUGGAGUGCUGGUGGAAAGUUUUUCGGUUGGGGAUGGGCUCGCGGCCUAUCAGCUUGUUGGUGGGGUGAUGGCCUACCAAGGCGACGACGGGUAACCGGCCUGAAAGGGCGACCGGUCACACUGGGACUGAAACACGGCCCAGACUCCUACCGGAGGCAACAGUGGGGAAUAUUGCGCAAUGGGCGGAAGCCUGACCCAACGACGCCGCGUGAGGGAUGACGGCCUUCGGGUUGUAAACCUCUUUCAACAGGGACGAAACUAACGUGACGGUACCUGCACAAAAAACCCCGGCUAACUACCUGCCAGCACCGCGGGUUAUUUAAAUUAAUAC